CAAUAUAAACCUGUUCAAGGUCUUUAACAGGUUCAAAGCCACUGCGCUACAAGCUCGACAGGUUUGGAAUCGUAGAAGUGUAGUUUACGUCCUUAUUUUGAUUAUCAGUCAUGACUUCUAAAACCAUUCUUCUGGUAGUGUUGUUGGCGUCGUGCUUCGUUGCCAUGGAUGCAAUCAUAUUUUUUACAAGGAAGGACAAGGCGGGAACGACGAAGAGAACUGUAAUAGACAAACAGCGCAAACAAGAUGAAGAAUUCAGGAGAAUUUACCAACGACAUUUAAGAAAUGCAAUGGAAGAUAUUUAAAGCUCAAUUACCGUACAAAAAACCAAGGUUUUUAAACUGGAGUAAAACUUGAAAUGACUAUUUAAAUAAAACUACACAACUGAAUAA